UACUGAACUGAAAACUAUGGUCACAGGUAUUGAACUCAAAACCCAUGAGCACAGGUAUUGAACUGAAACCCAUGAGCACAGGUAUUGAACUGAAACCCAUGGGCACAGGUAUUGAACUAAAAACCCAUGGGCACAGGUAUUGAACUGAAACCCAUGGGCACAGGUAUUGAACUGAAACCCAUGGGCACAGGUAUUGAACUGAAAACCCAUGGGUACAGGUAUUGAACUUGAAAACCCAUGGGCACAGGUAUUGAACUGAAAACCCAUGGGCACAGGUAUUGAACUGAAACCCAUGAGCACAGGUAUUGAACUGAAAACCCAUGGGCACAGGUAUUGAACUUGAAACCCCAUGAGCACAGGUACUGAACUGAAACCCAUGAGCACAGGUACUGAACUGAAAACUAUGGGCACAGGUAUUGAACUGAAACCCAUGAGCACAGGUAUUGAACUGAAAACCCAUGGGCACAGGUAUUGAACUGAAACCCAUGAGCACAGGUAUUGAACUGAAAACCCAUGGGCACAGGUAUUGAACUUGAAAACUAUGGGCACAGGUAUUGAACU